CAACAACUGCACCAACCACAACAACUGCUGCACCAACCACAACAAUAGUCGUAGAUACCAGAACAACUUCUGCACCAACAUCGACAACAGCUGGAGCACUUCAGUGCCAAACCUGCACAAAUCAGACGUGUUCAAGCACAGUAACAGUGAACUGUUCUUCAGAGACCAUGUGUGUUACAGCUACUAUUUUAGCUACCUCAUCUGGAACUACAGCAACACAAUUCUACAAGGCGUGUGCAUCUUCCUCUCUGUGUCCAGCUACGGGCAAUCAGACAUUUUCAGUUAACCUGGGUGUUCAAAGUGUUCUUGCAUCUGCCACGUGCUGCAACACGGAUAACUGCAACUCACAAAAUCUGCCUGCUCCUACUCCUCAGUCAAGUAACGGCCUACUAUGUAACACUUGUGUCGCCUCUCAGUGCAACACUACAUUACAGUGUCAGGGAGUGGAGGACCAAUGCUUUCAAUCAAUGAUGAGGGACGGCACCAACAGUUUCCCAGCUUACGGCUGUGCAUCUGCAAACCUGUGUGCAGCUGCUUCAAGCCUGGGUUCUCUACCUUUCAUGCAGAUGGCUGGUACCAUAACAAGUGGACCAAACUGUACUUCACGCACAACCACUGCUGCACCAACCAACAACAAAAGCUGCUUCAACCACAACUACAGCUGCACCAACAACAACUACUGCUGCACCAACAACAACUACUCCAACUACGACCACUGUUGCCCCAACCACUAACAACUGCACCAACCACAACAACUGCUGCACCAACCACAACAAUAGUCGUAGAUACCAGAACAACUUCUGCACCAACAUCGACAACAGCUGGAGCACUUCAGUGCCAAACCUGCACAAAUCAGACGUGUUCAAGCACAGUAACAGUGAACUGUUCUUCAGAGACCAUGUGUGUUACAGCUACUAUUUUAGCUACCUCAUCUGGAACUACAGCAACACAAUUCUACAAGGCGUGUGCAUCUUCCUCUCUGUGUCCAGCUACGGGCAAUCAGACAUUUUCAGUUAACCUGGGUGUUCAAAGUGUUCUUGCAUCUGCCACGUGCUGCAACACGGAUAACUGCAACUCACAAAAUCUGCCUGCUCCUACUCCUCAGUCAAGUAACGGCCUACUAUGU